GACGAACGCUGGCGGCGUGCCUAAUACAUGCAAGUCGAACGCUUUUUCUUUCACCGGAGCUUGCUCCACCGAAAGAAAAAGAGUGGCGAACGGGUGAGUAACACGUGGGUAACCUGCCCAUCAGAAGGGGAUAACACUUGGAAACAGGUGCUAAUACCGUAUAACAAGUAAAACCGCAUGGUUUUACUUUGAAAGGCGCUUUGCGUCACUGAUGGAUGGACCCGCGGUGCAUUAGCUAGUUGGUGAGGUAACGGCUCACCAAGGCAACGAUGCAUAGCCGACCUGAGAGGGUGAUCGGCCACAUUGGGACUGAGACACGGCCCAAACUCCUACGGGAGGCAGCAGUAGGGAAUCUUCGGCAAUGGACGAAAGUCUGACCGAGCAACGCCGCGUGAGUGAAGAAGGUUUUCGGAUCGUAAAACUCUGUUGUUAGAGAAGAACAAGGAUGAGAGUAAAAUGUUCAUCCCUUGACGGUAUCUAACCAGAAAGCCACGGCUAACUACGUGCCAGCAGCCGCGGUAAUACGUAGGUGGCAAGCGUUGUCCGGAUUUAUUGGGCGUAAAGCGAGCGCAGGCGGUUUCUUAAGUCUGAUGUGAAAGCCCCCGGCUCAACCGGGGAGGGUCAUUGGAAACUGGGAAACUUGAGUGCAGAAGAGGAGAGUGGAAUUCCAUGUGUAGCGGUGAAAUGCGUAGAUAUAUGGAGGAACACCAGUGGCGAAGGCGGCUCUCUGGUCUGUAACUGACGCUGAGGCUCGAAAGCGUGGGGAGCAAACAGG
rnacentral:rRNA from 1 species